CGCGUAGGUGGCUUGAUAAGUCGGUGGUGAAAUCCCAUGGCUCAACCAUGGAACUGCCGUCGAUACUGUCAGGCUUGAGGGCGGUAGGGGAGAGUGGAACUCCUGGUGUAGCGGUGAAAUGCGUAGAUAUCAGGAGGAACGCCGGUGGCGAAAGCGACUCUCUGGGCCGUUCCCGACACUAAAGUGCGAAAGCUAGGGGAGCAAACA
rnacentral:rRNA from 1 species